AGAGUUUGAUCCUGGCUCAGGAUGAACGCUAGCGACAGGCUUAACACAUGCAAGUCGAGGGGCAGCGGGGGAGUAGCAAUGCUCCCGCCGGCGACCGGCGCACGGGUGAGUAACACGUAUGGAACCUGCCCGCAGCAGGGGGAUAAGCGGAAGAAAUUCCGUCUAAUACCGCGUAACACCGCGGAGGGGCAUCCCUCGGCGGCUAAAGAUUCAUCGGCUGCGGAUGGCCAUGCGGCGCAUUAGCUAGUCGGCGGGGUAACGGCCCACCGAGGCGACGAUGCGUAGGGGUUCUGAGAGGAAGGUCCCCCACACUGGUACUGAGACACGGACCAGACUCCUACGGGAGGCAGCAGUGAGGAAUAUUGGUCAAUGGCCGGGAGGCUGAACCAGCCAAGUCGCGUGAGGGAAGACGGCCCUACGGGUUGUAAACCUCUUUUGUCAGGGAGCAAGGUGCAGGUCGGGACCUGCUGUGAGAGUACCUGAAGAAAAAGCAUCGGCUAACUCCGUGCCAGCAGCCGCGGUAAUACGGAGGAUGCGAGCGUUAUCCGGAUUUAUUGGGUUUAAAGGGUGCGCAGGCGGAGGCACAAGUCAGCGGUAAAAUCGCGGGGCUCAACCCCGCUCCGCCGUUGAAACUGUGUCCCUUGAGUGCGCGAAGGGUAGGCGGAAUGCGUGGUGUAGCGGUGAAAUGCAUAGAUAUCACGCAGAACUCCGAUCGCGAAGGCAGCCUACCGGCGCGCAACUGACGCUCAUGCACGAAAGCGUGGGUAUCGAACAGGAUUAGAUACCCUGGUAGUCCGCACAGUAAACGAUGAAUGCUAGCUGUCCGGGGGGAUUGACCCCUGGGUGGCACAGCGAAAGCGUUAAGCAUUCCACCUGGGGAGUACGCCGGCAACGGUGAAACUCAAAGGAAUUGACGGGGGCCCGCACAAGCGGAGGAACACGUGGUUUAAUUCGAUGAUACGCGAGGAACCUUACCCGGGCUCAAACGCCGAAGGGACAUUCCCCGAAAGGGGAUUGGCCAGCAAUGGUCUUCGGCGAGGUGCUGCAUGGUUGUCGUCAGCUCGUGCCGUGAGGUGUCGGCUUAAGUGCCAUAACGAGCGCAACCCCCACCGACAGUUGCUAACUGGUCAAGCAGAGGACUCUGUCGGGACUGCCGGCGCAAGCUGCGAGGAAGGCGGGGAUGACGUCAAAUCAGCACGGCCCUUACGUCCGGGGCGACACACGUGUUACAAUGGCAGGUACAGCGGGAUGCCAUGGGGCGACCCAGAGCGGAACCCGAAAACCUGUCUCAGUUCGGAUUGGAGUCUGCAACCCGACUCCAUGAAGCUGGAUUCGCUAGUAAUCGCGCAUCAGCCACGGCGCGGUGAAUACGUUCCCGGGCCUUGCACUCACCGCCCGUCA
rnacentral:rRNA from 1 species